UACGUAGGGGGCAAGCGUUGUCCGGAAUCAUUGGGCGUAAAGCGCGCGUAGGCGGCCCGGUAAGUCCGUUGUGAAAGUCAAAGGCUCAACCUUUGAACGCCGAUGGAUACUGCCGGGCUAGAGUCCGGAAGAGGCGAGUGGAAUUCCUGGUGUAGCGGUGGAAUGCGCAGAUAUCAGGAGGAACACCAAUGGCGAAGGCAGAUCUCUGGGCCGUAACUGACGCUGAGGAGCGAAAGCAUGGGGAGCGAACAGG
rnacentral:rRNA from 1 species